GCCCGGAUGGUCUAGUGGUAUGAUUCUCGCUUUGGGUUGCAAUAGCACUAAUAUGCGAGAGGUCCCGCGUUCGAUCCGCGGUUCGGGCC
rnacentral:tRNA from 1 species